GUAAAUCUCUGUUUGUUCAUGACAGUGGCGAGGCAGAGUGAAUAGAAUGAGGUGUGGAAAGACAUUCUGAAUGCAGAGAGUGAUAAAAUAUUUGUGAAGGAUAUCAACUUCUACAUGCAGAAGGGGGAGAAUCCCUUUUUUUCUGAGUUGUCUGAAAGAGCAUAUUUGCAAUGAGAAGUUGCCAUUGGUUACAUGAAGAACAAUACAAAGAAAACUCACAGCCCAAACCCAGAUCCAGAGUUGAUGUUUGGAUUAAAGGACAUACAAGGAAGAAAGGAAAAUCUGUGAAUGAAGUGCUUGAGGCAGCAGUGGUAUAGUGAUAUUAGCUCCAUUAUGUAUAUAUUGCAUUAUAAUUUAAACUCAUAUUAAAGAUUGUUUAGAAACUUUUGGACAGUUUUUAGAACUUAAGGAUAGGGUUUUUUGGAUGAUUUAGAACCGUUUGGAUGGUUUUGAACUUGAAGAU